CCCCCCCCAAAUUUCCUUAUCCACCUGUGCACCCUUUGUAGGCCCUCGAAAGAGGAUCUACGUCUCUCUAUCUACGCUUUUUUGCUACGCAUGUCCAGAAUGUAUACAAUCUUUACAACUUUCAGCAAUGGAUCUCUUGGCUCUCGCAUCGAUGAAGAACGCAGCGAAUUGCGAUAAGUAAUGUGAAUUGCAGAUUUUCAGUGAAUCAUCGAAUCUUUGAACGCACCUUGCGCUCCUUGGUAUUCCGAGGAGCAUGCCUGUUUGAGUGUCAUCGAAUUCUCAACCGUGUCUUGAAUUAGGCAUGGCUUGGACUUGGGGGUUGCUGGCAUGCUGUGUCGGCUCUCCUGAAAUGCAUUAGCGAUGGUCAGCAAGCCUGACGUGCACGGCCUUUUCGACGUGAUAACGAUCGUCGUGGGCUGGAGCGUAGGGCGAGCGGUGAAUUGCUUCCAAUCCAAGCCUCAGUUACUAGUCAGCCGACGAACGCGAGGCUGAUCUUGGACCGUUACUAGUUGGCUGUGAGGCCGAUGAACACACCAUUUUUGAACUC
rnacentral:rRNA from 1 species